rnacentral:rRNA from 1 species
AAUAGAUACCCUGGUAGUCCACGCCGUAAACGAUGGAUACUAGCUGUUGGAGGUAUCGACCCCUUCAGUAGCGAAGCUAACGCGUUAAGUAUCCCGCCUGUGGAGUACGGUCGCAAGACUAAAACAUAAAGGAAUUGACGGGGACCCGCACAAGCGGUGGAUCGUGUUCUUUAAUUCGAUGCUAAACGAAGAACCUUACCAGGGUUUGACAUCCCUUGAAUUAAUCCGAAAGGAUUGAGUGCUUUAUUGAACAAGGUGACAGGUGAUGCAUGGCCGUCGUCAGCUCGUGUCGUGAGAUGUUUGGUUAAGUCCAUCAACGAGCGCAACCCUUGCAAGUAGUUGUAUUUUUCUACUUGGACUGCCCCGGUAACGGGGAGGAAGGAGGGGAUGAUGUCAGGUCAGUAUUUCCCUUACAUCCUGGGCUAGAAACACGAUACAAUGGCUAGUACAAUGCGCAGCGAAGCCGCGAGGUGAAGCAAAUCGCAUCAAAGCUAGUCCCAGUUCGGAUUGGAGGCUGAAACUCGCCUCCAUGAAGUCGGAA